rnacentral:rRNA from 1 species
AUACGUAGGGGGCGAGCGUUGUCCGGAUUUAUUGGGCGUAAAGGGUUCGUAGGCGGUUAUUUAAGUCAGAUGUGAAAGGCGCAGGCUUAACCUGUGUAAGCAUUUGAAACUGGAUAACUUGAGUUAAGGAGAGGAAAGUGGAAUUCCUAGUGUAGCGGUGAAAUGCGUAGAUAUUAGGAGGAAUACCAGUGGCGAAGGCGACUUUCUGGACUUAUACUGACGCUGAGGAACGAAAGCGUGGGGAGCAAACAGGAUUAGAUACCCUGGUAGUCCACGCCGUAAACGAUGAGUGCUAGGUGUUGGGGGUCAAACCUCGGUGCCGCAGCUAACGCAUUAAGCACUCCGCCUGGGGAGUACGUACGCAAGUAUGAA